rnacentral:lncRNA from 1 species
CUUGAUGAAAAUUUGGAUCCAUGGGAGUUCUUUCCCUGAAAAAAAAAAAAAAAAGGAAUUGAUAGGCUCUUCUCUGUUGAAAGGAGCUGCCGCCUUUUGAAGCUGUGCCGGGGGAACUGAAGAGGAUCUUGCCCAUUCGUCUACCAAAGAACACCAUCCUCCCAGAACUUCUUUUCUCACACUGGCCAGCACUGGGUAUUUUGUGCAGCAGACACUCAGGAAAUGCUUGUUGAAUUGACUUUUUAAUGUGCCGUACGAGAAAACAAAAGGCAAGACAUUUCAGAUUUUUCUGAAAUGAAGGAAUAAAUUUGCAUAAAUAUCAUAAGAAUGAAGAAGAAUUUUUUUACAAGUAUAAAUUUAGAUGUGGAGCUUCGCGCUGCCUUCAUUUUCUCUCUGGGAUCCUGAGCCCUAGUGGGUGAAAUACCUUGUUUGUCUGUGGUAAUGGAAAGACCCAAGGCUUGAACUCAACUCUUGGAGCCCCUUUCCCACUCGGUAUUUCCCGUUUUCAGGAGAGGGAAGGUAAUGAGAGGUCACUAGGGGAUUCUAAGAACACAAACUAUCCAAAAAAAUCAAUCGACUUUUCUGAUGAUAUUGAGGAUGGAUAGAAAUGCAGAGAGAAAUAAGAAGAGAACACACCGAUGUAUGCCGUUAUUGUCGGCUGCAAACUUACGGCUCCCUGACUCACUCCUCUCAAUUGACUGCUUAUCAGAGUACAUGUGGGUGUGGACAUGUGAUCAUUUGUACUAUGACUGGAAGUAGAAUAUGAAUCAGUCCGGUAAGGUAAUGCUCUUUCACGUCAUUGGCGGUUCCCCACUAUAAGUUGGAAACAAUCCAACACUGGAUUUCAGCACAACUCUGGGAUAUUUACUAUGGAGGACAUCUACACUGUACUGUGUGUGUUUCUGACAUCUUCCAGUCCAGAAGAACAAUGGGAAAAUUUAAGUUCCUCUUUACUUUGGGUAGGAUAACUGGUUGUUACUUCAAACAAGAUUCUGUGACUUGAUUACAGGGCUCUUUACCCCAAAUUGUGGAUUGAACCUGGGUCUUGAAUGCAAAAUGCAUUCAAGAAAGAAUUUCAAACUUCC